GGAUAGGUGGCCGAGUGGCUGAAGGUUGCGGUCUUGAAAACCGUCGAAGGGGAAACUCUUCCGUGAGUUCGAAUCUCACCCUAUCCGCCA
rnacentral:tRNA from 1 species